rfam:Gemmatimonadetes bacterium 13_1_40CM_70_15 13_1_40cm_scaffold_4596, whole genome shotgun sequence.
GCGCGACAAAGGCAAACCCGGCGAAAGCCGGCGACGCAAAGCCCCGAGGCUACCGCACGCCAUCGCGUGCCAUGCCAGUCGAGCUGCCGAA